UCCGAGUUGACCCCGGCAGUCUCCUAUGAGUCCCCACCACCCCGAAGGGCGUGCUGGCAACAUAGGACGAGGGUUGCGCUCGUUGCGGGACUUAACCCAACAUCUCACGACACGAGCUGACGACAGCCAUGCACCACCUGUACACCGACCACAAGGGGGCGACCAUCUCUGGCCGUUUCCGGUGUAUGUCAAGCCUUGGUAAGGUUCUUCGCGUUGCGUCGAAUUAAGCCACAUGCUCCACCGCUUGUGCGGGCCCCCGCCAAUUCCUUUGAGUUUUAGCCUUGCGGCCGUACUCCCCAGGCGGGGCGCUUAAUGCGUUAGCUGCGGCACGGAACUCGUGGAAUGAGCUCCACACCUAGCGCCCAACGUUUACGGCGUGGACUAC
rnacentral:misc_RNA from 1 species